GAUGAACGCUGGCGGCGUGCCUAAUACAUGCAAGUCGAGCGAACGGACGAGAAGCUUGCUUCUCUGAUGUUAGCGGCGGACGGGUGAGUAACACGUGGAUAACCUACCUAUAAGACUGGGAUAACUUCGGGAAACCGGAGCUAAUACCGGAUGAUAUUUUGAACCGCAUGGUUCAAAAGUGAAAGACGGUCUUGCUGUCACUUAUAGAUGGAUCCGCGCUGCAUUAGCUAGUUGGUAAGGUAACGGCUUACCAAGGCAACGAUGCAUAGCCGACCUGAGAGGGUGAUCGGCCACACUGGAACUGGGACACGGUCCCGACUCCUACGGGAGGCAGCAGUAGGGAAUCUUCCGCAAUGGGCGGAAGCCUGACGGAGCCACGCCGCGUGAGUGAUGGAGGUCUUCGGAUCGUAAAACUCUGUUAUUAGGGAAGAACAUAUGUGUAAGUAACUGUGCACAUCUUGACGGUACCUAAUCAGAAAGCCACGGCUAACUACGUG
rnacentral:rRNA from 1 species